CAGAACUAACGCUGGCGGCGCGUCUUAACAUGCAAGUCGUACGAGAACCCCUGUGCUUGCAUAGGGGGGAGAGUGGCGAACGGGUGAGUAACACGUGGAUAAUCUGCCUUCAGGAUUGGGAUAACUGUGGGAAACCGCAGCUAAUACCGAAUAAGAUGGUAGCUGCACAUGCAGCAGCCAUUAAAGGUGGGGACCUUCGGGCCUACCACCUGAAGAUGAGUCCGCGUCCCAUUAGCUUGUUGGUGGGGUAACGGCCUACCAAGGCUGCGAUGGGUAGCCGGCCUGAGAGGGUGAACGGCCACAUUGGGACUGAGAUACGGCCCAGACUUCUACGGAAGGCAGCAGUUAAGAAUCUUGCGCAAUGGGCGAAAGCCUGACGCAGCGACGCCGCGUGGACGAUGAAGGCCUUCGGGUUGUAAAGUCCGGUAAACAGGGAAGAAUAAGUUUCGUUGAAUAAGCGGAACGAUGACGGUACCUGUCUAAAGCCCCGGCUAACUACGUGCCAGCAGCCGCGGUAAUACGUAUGGGGCGAGCGUUGUACGGAAUUAUUGGGCAUAAAGGGCGUCUAGGCGGGGGACUAAGUUAGGUGUGAAAGCCAUGGGCUCAACCCGUGAAUUGCAUCUAAAACUGGUUCUCUUGAGUUCGGGAGAGGAGUGCGGAAUUCCUGGUGUAGCGGUGAAAUGCGUAGAUAUCAGGAAGAACACCAGUGGCGAAGGCGGCACUCUGGCCUAGAACUGACGCUGAAGCGCGAAAGCGUGGGGAGCGAACGGGAUUAGAUACCCCGGUAGUCCACGCCGUAAACGUUGUGUACUAGGUGUUAGUGCUUUAAGCACUAGUGCCGACGCUAACGCAUUAAGUACACCGCCUGGGGAGUACGGCCGCAAGGCUUAAACUCAAAGAAAUUGACGGGGGCCCGCACAAGCGGUGGAGCAUGUGGUUUAAUUCGAUGAUACGCGAAGAACCUUACCAGGGCUUGAACUGUUUCUGACAGGUGUAGAGAUACACCCUCCUU
rnacentral:rRNA from 1 species